UGCAUAUUCAUGAUGAAUAUAAAAAAUUAUCAUUAAAGAGUUGGUGGUAGCCGUUUAUUAGUAGACCUUACAACUAGCGAGAAGGCGGUACAUGCAGACUUUUUCAAUGAAUUCGAUGACCUUUUUG